rnacentral:rRNA from 1 species
CCUACGGGGGGCAGCAGUGGGGAAUAUUGCACAAUGGGCGAAAGCCUGAUGCAGCAACGCCGCGUGAAGGAAGAAGGGUUUCGGCUCGUAAACUUCUAUCAACAGGGACGAAAGAAAUGACGGUACCUGAAUCAGAAGCCCCGGCUAACAACGUGCCAGCCGCCGCGGUAAUACGUAGGUGGCAAGCGUUGUCCGGAUUUACUGGGUGUAAAGUGCGUGUAGCCGGGCUGACAAGUCAGAUGUGAAAUCCGGGGGCUCAACCCGCGAACUGCAUUUGAUACUGUUGGUCUUGAGUAUCGGAGAGGCAGGCGGAAUUCCUAGGGUAGCGGUGAAAUGCGUAGAGAUUAGGAGGAACACCAGUGGCGAAGGCGGCCUGCUGGACGACAACUGACGGUGAGGCGCGAAAGCGUGGGGAGCAAACAGGAUUAGAUACCCGUGUAGUC